GCCUGGUAGCUCAGUUGGCAGAGCAUUGGACCAGUAUCCCAAAGGUCGCGGGUUCCAUUCCAUGCACCGUGGUCAGGCA
rnacentral:tRNA from 1 species